UAAUGACUCUCGACAACGGAUAUCUCGGCUCUCGCAUCGAUGAAGAACGUAGCGAAAUGCGAUACUUGGUGUGAAUUGCAGAAUCCCGUGAAUCAUCGAGUCUUUGAACGCAAGUUGCGCCCAAAGUCGUUAGGCUGAGGGCACGCCUGCCUGGGCGUCAGGA
rnacentral:rRNA from 1 species